CAUAUUGGAUCAAAGACUAGAACUGCCACCUCCUGUUUACAAUGGGCUGGAGCAGUCACAGAAUUGUCAGGGCUACUUUCUGUCUCGGUGUGAUUGGAAAUAAGACUGAAAACGGUACCUUAGCAAGAAGAUGUGCAUAUGCCUCUAAAGUUGGGUUUUCAAGAGACAAAAGAAACACAAACAAGAAACAUGGGUACUCACCAUGUUCUUAUAACACCAGCUAAGUGGGCUUUGACGUAUGCUGAGAUCAGAGAGCAAGAUGCAUGCUGCAUCAUGGGACCAAGGAUCUUAGGAGGAUAUUUGGUAUCUGUAAUAUACCAUCUGCACGUGAUUUAAGUCACUCUCCAAGCAUCCUUUUUCAUCACCAUGGAAGUGAUGGAAAUCAUCCUAACUGUGCGAACUCGCAAGAAUGUGCCAAGAUGUCUGGCAGAAAUAAUAGCAUUUAACUGAAGGGGGAAACAGAAGACACACUGGCAUUUCCACUGCUAGCAAAUAUGCUAUCACUUUCCCUAAUAAUUACUUCAGGUUGCACAUGGUUGACAUUUACAACAAGAAACAAAACAGCAAUCAAAAGCAAAUACCAUGUAAGGUACAAACCUAAAAUAAUAAGAUAACUUGGAUCACAGUAUUUACUGAAAAUAUUGAUUCAUUUCUUGGAAUAUUCUUUGUAUAAAAGAUAUAUUUAAUUAUCUCAUUAGUGUUGCAAUCUGGUUUUCUUAUUAAUAAAAGUAACUUAUGAAAAUUACUAGAUCAAUUUAUUUUCUUCUAGUUUUUAACUUGCUGUAAAAUAUCUGAAAUAUCAAUAAAGCGUUUUUCCAGUAGAUCCUAAUGCCAUCUUGUUUGGGACUCAAGGCACAAUAGUGAAAGGAUAAAUGUCCUUACAAAGAACGCAGGUGAGGUAGCUGCAGUCAAUGUCAGAAAUAUGUUUUCGAACAUGAGUAGAAGUUAAUUAAGUCAGAAAAACAUUUACAUCAUAAAAGUUUGUACCCAGGUUUGCACAUACAUUUGGGUUUUGCAUCAUUUACAUCUUCUUCUGCCACUGUCACGGAGAAAGAGCAAGAGCAUGAGCAUUGUUACACGCUCAGGAGGAGCCCUCUUGCUUGUGCGUUGUGUGCCCAUAACCUCAGUGGACCCUGGAACCCACAAAGAUUCUCCUUGUGCUGCCACAUGCUCAAUGCAGAUGGCAUCUUCUGAGAGGAUGUUGGCAGACACACACAAACCCAUAUUUACCGAGUGCAAACAAUGUUUUUUAGGAGUUUGUAAGUCAGCCAAAGGCAAGUGUCUUUCGCGCAGAUUACAAAACAGUUCUCUGACCUCAUGUUGACAAUUUGCAUUUCUCCAGCUCCCAAUUGAAAGUCCUCGAUUAAAGUAUGAAAAGGUUCCUUCACCCAAAUGAUGUUAUUUUUUUCAUAAAGAUGAUUCUUUUUCUAUUUUCAAAGAAUAUCUGGUCUGUUUUAGCUGGAAUUUAAGUUAUGUUCAAGACUCAGCCAAAAAUAUCGGUUUCAAUUCAAUAAACACACUGUAAAUUUAACUUGCAAAUAUAAAUUCAAAUGUAAAUAUUUAAGAAUUUGCAAACAGCUUCAGUAGAGAUUGUCCCUAAUAUAUUCUAGUUCUUUACAACAAGCUUCAAAAGUGUCAAGUGAAUGCUGUCCAUGGUUUAUUCAGAUUGAGGGUCUGGCUCAACACACUUAAAAGUGAUGCAUGGUAAAAUUUCAAAGCAAUAUGUAAUCCUUCAAUAAAAUAAGUACCUGAAGUAA